AAUCAACGCUGGCGGCGUGCCUAACACACGCAAGUCGAGCGGGAAAAGGGGCUUCGGUCCCUGAGUAUAGCGGCGGACGGGUGAGUAACACGUGGGUAAUUUGCCCUUGGGUGUGGAAUAACUCAGGGAAACUUGAGCUAAUACCGCAUGACAUCCUCGUCGCACACGAGUCGAGGAUCAAAGCCGGGGACCCUUCGGGGCCUGGCGCCUGAGGAGAAGCCCGCGCCCGAUUAGCUAGUUGGGAGGUAAUGGCUCACCAAGGCUUCGAUCGGUAGCCGGCCUGAGGAGGGCGGACGGCCACAC
rnacentral:rRNA from 1 species